rnacentral:lncRNA from 1 species
GCACAUGAUUUGAAACGCCCGCACGAAUGCCCAGCUGUUGGGAUGGAGCUGGGCGGCGGCGAUGUCGAGCUCGGUUAGUAGCUCCCUUUCAAAACGAGUGAAGGGAAACCUAAGUUUCACCUUCUUGAAUAAGGUGGUGUAUACAAAGCAGAACAACUCGCCGUUGUUCCCUUUGUCGUCUGCGCAAACUGGCACGUCGGGGGGGG